rnacentral:lncRNA from 13 species
CCGCCCCAGCAGCCACCGCAGCCGGCCUCCGCCUCCUGCGAGCAGCCCUCAGCAGACACCGCUAUCAAAGCGGAGGGAGGCGCUGCCGCCGGCCACCAAAUCCUCCCGGAGGCAGAGGUGCGCCUGGCCAGGCCAGUUUCAUGCAGUCCCUCUUUAGGACCAUGCUCCAACCCUGGGUCAACAAAUUCUCCCUAAGGAUGUUGGCAGCCAGAAAGCCAUGGAGCACUAGCAGGAGAGGGUCAAGUCGGCGGGAUUUUGGAUCAUCCUCCCCUACAGCGAUUUCAGCAGAUCUUCCACAUGACAUACAACCUGGCCAGCACCGUGGUACACAUCAUGAAACUCAUUGGCAUGAUUCUCCCACUGUGCCACUAGGAUGGCUGCCUGCAGGUCCUGGUGCCCUUGCUGCAGGACUUCCUGAUGACUGCUGGUGUUCAUCAACAAGGUGGCAAGAAGAACUCCAUCCUCCUCCACAAAGCACAGCAUGACCUCAACUCUGGCAUCUUCAACUACCAGGAGAAUGAGAUCAUCAAGCCAAUUGUACAGCACGACCAGGAGAUGGCCCACUAUGCACAUUGCAUCCAGGCCACAGCCUCUGCCACCCCGACCCCCAGGCCUGUCAUCUGGACCCUGCUGAUCUAGGCAUGGCUGCAGGCCAUCGCCCUCACCCACCACCCUCACCUGCCUGCUGCCAUCUUCUGCCCUCCCCUAGGAUCUGGGCUGG